rnacentral:misc_RNA from 1 species
UCUCCGUAGGUGAACCUGCGGAGGGAUCAUUACAGAGUUCAUGCCCUACCGGGUAGAUCUCCCACCCUAUGUUAUUAUUACUUUGUUGCUUUGGCGGGCCGUUAGGCUCCGGCCCGACUACCGGCCCCGGCUGGUAAGCGCCCGCCAGAGGACCCAAAACCCUGAACAUUAGUGUCGUCUGAGUACUAUAUAAUAGUUAAAACUUUCAACGACGGAUCUCUUGGUUCUG